GCUCCGGUAGUGUAGUCCGGCCAAUCAUUUUGCCCUCUCGAGGCAAAGACCCGGGUUCGAAUCCCGGCCGGAGCG
rnacentral:tRNA from 1 species